UCUGCAAAAAGAAAUGCCAAACGACAGCUUGACCAUUUCUGCCAGCAACAGUGAUACAGACAUAGGUGAUAUAGUUUCACCUACACAAUACGACCAUGGAUGGAAAUAGCACUUGUUUCCCAUCAAGUAAUUCUACAGAGGGUUGCAUCCCUGGCAGCAGCCCGUCACUUGGACUUGCUGUUGGUUUGCCUAUAUUCUUUGUGGCUUUGUUGCUGGUGGGGAUAGCAGUGUUUUUCUGGUUUCGACACAGAAAAUCGGUUGAUAUUGAGUUAUCUAACAAACUUAAGAGCCAAGAUAAGAGCCAAGAUGAUCAUUCCAGGGAGUCUCCGUACAGUGUAUACGCCGGAGGACUUCAACCCGCACCACAGAGCCCAGUCUAUGAGAACUUUCAUGGACAGUCCAAUCUGCAUGAAUUUCAGAGUUGUUCUGUACAGAGCAAGGACACACACAGAGACCAUCAAGCAUACCUGCAGUGUGAUCCACAUGAUGCAAUCUACAGCAAUGAUCCUGCCCUCUUCCAUCCAGAUCAGGCUGAAAUCUCUGAGGAUGUUUACAUCAUGCCAGAUGCUUGAAAGUCUGAAAUGGUUUGCUGUCCAGUAUUAAUCCACAAAAUGUUCAGGAUAAUUUGUACUUACAUGAUAUGAAAUAAUAGUAAGUCUUUAUUUUCAAAGGGUAAAAUCAAGGGCAAAACAUUCUGGCCAAGAAAUAGUUUUGACUUGAGGGAUUGAAAUGCCCUUACAAGCAGUACACAAGCCAAUGUAAUUUAUUGACUGAACACACUGUGAGACAGCAAAACAUAAUCAUGACCUCAUUUAUCACAGUUUAACAGGUGUUCUUGCCGACUGCAAAUAAUCCCCACUGAAACGACCAGCGUGAAUGUUCCAUGCUCUACAGACUGGUUUAUACUGGUUUGUUGGACCAACAUGCUAAGUUCUAGUUGAGAUGUUGGUCAGUAUGCUGGACAGGGAUAGGGGGACUUUCAUACGUUUUAAUGUUAAAAAUGUUUCCUGAAUUAAUUAAGUUGAUAUCUUUUUGUAUAUUAUUGUUCAAAAGUUUGUGGUCAGUAAGAUUUUAUUUGAAGAAGUAAAUACUUUCAUUUAGCAA